GCAGCAACAACUCAAUCAUUCAUCGAGGGCAACAAUCAAAGAUUUCAAAAUGUUGAAGCAUCAAUUAAAAGUUUGGAGCAACAAUUUGGACAGCUAGCUACACAGAUUUCAGACAGAGAAAAGGGCAAAUUUCCUAGUCAAACAAUUCCUAAUCCAAAUGGACGUGAAGAUUGCAAAGUUGUUCGGACUUUACGAUGUGGAAAAAGCUAUGACAAUCGUGAAAAUAGCAUUGAAAAGGAGCAGCAAAUAGUGGAAGAUAAUACAGAAAAUUUUGCAGCAGCAGAACCUGCCAAACCUGCAGAAAAACAUAAUUCGGCAGAUCUAGAAACUGUUCCAAAACAAGUUCCUGAGCGUGUUUAUGAGGCCCCAAUUCCAUAUCCAGAACGUUUGAAGCCUAAAGCAAAAGAUCAGCAACUUAAGGACUUUAUGCAGACAUUAUCCAAGGUUCAAAUCAACAUUCCCUUACUGGAUGCAAUCAAGAAAAUUCCAUCAUAUGCCAAAUUUUUGAAGGAAGUUUGCAGCAGCAAAAAGAAGCUUUCAGAUUUGGAAAAAGUUAUUUUGACAGAACAGUGCAGUGCAGUUUUGCUACACAAACUACCACCUAAGAAAAAAGAUCCAGGGAGUUUUAAUAUUUCUUGCACUAUUGGAAAUUCUAAUUUUAAAAGUGCUUUAAUUGAUUUGGGUGCAAGUAUUAAUUUGAUGCCUUUUUCUGUUUUUCAGCGAUUGGGGCAAGGAGAUUUAAAGCCUACAUCAAUUAUACUUCAACUAGCUGACCGUUCAAUCACUUAUCCAAGAGGUGUUAUUGAAGAUCUAAUUAUUAAGGUUGAUGAUCUUUAUCUACCGGCAGAUUUUGUGGUUUUAGACAUGGAUGAAGACCUUCAAACACCUAUUAUUUUAGGGAGGCCGUUUAUGGCAACAGCUAGGACCUUAAUUGAUGUGGAAGCUGGAACAUUGACUUUACGGGUUCAAGACCAAUCUGUGGUGUUUAAUUUGUUUGAGGCAGCAAAACGUCCUGCUGAACAGCAAGAUUGUAUGCGUAUUGACAUGGUAGACAGUAUGGUGCAUGACAGAUUUUGUGCUAAUUCAAAAACAGAUCAGUUGCUGCAUGUUUUACAGGGGGAACUUGAGACAGAUUCUGAAGAUGAAGGUGUUCAUGAGUACAUACACGCAUUGAACAGUCUGCCCACAGUGUUGCCAAAAUUUAGGAAUGUGUAUGAGAGUUUAGGGGAGCCUAAACAGCCCCUUAAACCUUCCAGACAACAGCCGCCAAAAUUGGAGCUGAAGCCUUUACCACAACAUCUUAAAUAUGCAUAUUUAGGAGCUGCAGAGACGCUGCCAGUUAUAAUUGCAGCAGAUUUAACACUGACAGAGGAGGAUAAAUUGCUUCGUGUAUUGAGAAAAUAUCAAGAUGCAUUGGGAUGGACAAUUGCGGACAUCAAGGGAAUCAGCCCAGCACUAUGUAUGCACAGAAUAUUAAUGGAAGACGACGUAAAGCCAACAGUUGAUGCUCAACGCCGCCUUAACCCAAUUAUGAAAGAGGUGGUCAGAACAGAGGUUAUGAAAUUACUUGAUGCAGGUAUGAUUUAUCCUAUUUCUGACAGUAAAUGGGUUAGCCCGACUCAAGUUGUGCCUAAACGAACCGGUAUUACAGUGGUGAAAAAUGAUAAUAAUGAGUUAGUUCCUACACGAUUGACUACGGGUUGGAGAAUGUGUGUAGAUUACCGGAAGCUUAACGCAGGGACGAGAAAAGACCAUUUUCCAUUGCCUUUUAUUGACCAGAUGUUAGAAAGGUUGGCUGGUCGGGCUUUUUACUGUUUUCUUGAUGGGUAUUCUGGGUAUAAUCAGAUUCCAAUCGCACCAGAGGAUCAAGAGAAGACUACUUUCACUUGUCCAUUCGGUACUUAUGCUUAUCGGAGGAUGCCAUUCGGAUUAUGCAAUGCACCUGCUACGUUUCAACGUUGUAUGAUGAGUAUUUUUUCUGGCUUGGUCGAAAAUAUUGUGGAAGUUUUUAUGGAUGAUUUUUCUGUUUUUGGGGAUUCAUAUGAUCAGUGCUUACAGAAUUUAUCAUUAGUUCUUCAGAGAUGUCAAGCGACGAAUUUAGUGCUAAACUGGGAAAAGUGUCAUUUCAUGGUUGAACAAGGAAUUGUCUUGGGUCAUUCAAUUUCUAGCAAAGGCAUCGAGGUUGACAAGGCAAAGAUUGAAGUUAUUGCAAAGCUGCCACCUCCUACAUCAGUAAAAGGUGUGAUAUCCUUCUUAGGACACGCAGGUUUUUAUCGUCGGUUCAUCAAGGAUUUCUCCAAGAUUAGUCGACCUUUGUGCACUUUAUUGGCUAAGGAUGCACCAUUUAAUUUUGAUAAGGCCUGUUUAGAAGCAUUCAACAAGUUGAAAGCCCUCCUAACUUCGGCACCCAUCAUUGCUGCACCAAAUUGGGAUUUACCAUUUGAACUAAUGUGUGAUGCGUCAGAUUAUGCUGUCGGGGCAGUUUUAGGGCAGCGAAAAGAUAAGCUUCCCCAUGUCAUCUAUUAUGCAAGUCGUACUCUCAAUGAUGCACAGCUUAACUAUGCAACUACAGAGAAGGAAUUGUUGGCAGUUGUGUUCGCACUAGAGAAAUUUCGGUCUUAUUUGGUUGGGGCUAAAAUAAUUGUCUAUACAGAUCAUGCUGCACUUAAAUACUUGUUGUCUAAGAAGGAUGCAAAGCCUAGAUUGAUUCGUUGGGUUCUCUUACUUCAAGAAUUUGACUUAGAGAUUAAAGACAAGAAGGGCAGUGAGAAUGUUGUGGCUGAUCAUUUAUCUAGAUUAAUUAUUCCAGCAGCUACAGAGGCAGAUUCUCUACCAUUGAGUGAAAGUUUCCCAGAUGAACAGCUAUUUGCUGUCAAAAUUGACACACCUUGGUUUGCAGAUAUUGUCAAUUAUUUGGCUAAGGGUGUGGUGCAUCCAGAUUUUUCCUACCAGCAGAAAAAGAAGUUUUUAUUUGAUGUAAAGCACUAUUUCUGGGAUGAACCGUACUUAUACAAGUAUUGUGCAGACCAGAUUAUUCGCAGGUGUAUUCCGGAGGUUGAACAGGAAAGUGUUUUAAAGUUUGCUCAUCACUACGCUUGUGGAGGACAUUUUGGGCAGAAAAGGACAGCAGAGAAAAUCCUACAGAGUGGGUUAUUUUGGCCAACACUUUUUAGAGAUUCACAGAAUUGGUGCAAGGCAUGUGAUAGGUGUCAAAGGGUCGGCAAUCAAUCCAGAAGGAAUGAGAUGCCCCAGCAAAGUAUCCUAAUUGUUGAACUAUUUGAUGUUUGGGGUAUUGAUUUCAUGGGACCAUUCCCAUCUUCUAAUGGGCACCAAUAUAUUUUAGUGGCUGUGGAAUAUGUUUCAAAAUGGGUCGAGGCCAUUGCAGCACCAACUAAUCAAGGAUCAGUGGUCCUGAAGUUCCUCCAGGGGGUUAUAUUUCCACGUUUUGGAAUACCGCGUGUUAUUCUUAGUGAUGGGGGGAAGCAUUUUAUUAAUAAACCAUUUGCUAACCUAUUGGCAAAAUAUGGGAUUCAUCAUCGCGUGGCUACACCAUACCACCCACAGACAUCUGGUCAAGUUGAAGUUUCAAACAGAGAAAUAAAGCGUAUUUUGGAGAAAACAGUGAGCUCUACACGCAAGGAUUGGAGUUUCAAACUAAAUGAUGCUUUGUGGGCAUACAGGACAGCUUAUAAAACUCCUAUUGGGAUGUCACCAUUCCGACUUGUUUAUGGGAAAGCCUGUCAUCUACCUAUGGAGCUGGAGCAUAAAGCUUACUGGGCCAUUAAAGAGUUAAAUUUUGCAUAUGACUCAGCUGGGGAAAAGCGGAAAUUGCAGUUAAAUGAGCUAGAGGAAAUUCGUCAAGGUGCUUAUGAUAGUUCUCGCAUCUACAAGGAAAGAACUAAGGCAUUUCAUGACAGUCAAAUUUUACGGAAGGAAUUUCAGCCAGGGCAAAAGGUUCUGUUAUUUAGUUCAAGGCUCAAGUUGUUUCCAGGGAAAUUAAAAUCUCGCUGGACUGGACCCUACCUAGUGACUCAAGUUUUUCCUCAUGGAGCAGUUCAAAUCACUAAUGAAGAUAAAGGCAACACGUUCAAGGUGAAUGGUCAUAGGCUGAAACCCUACGUGGAGACACCCUUUGACAUUGCAGCCGAGUCUUUGACUCUGAAGGAACCAGUGAUUUGACCACCAGGCUUCUGCAAAGUCUAGCUACAGACUUAAAAUAGCGCGCUUAUUGGGAGGCAACCCAAUUUUUCUAAACUCUUUACUUCUUUUAUUUUCAAAACAAAAAAAAAAAAAAAAAAAAAUUGUUGUUUUCUUUAUCUAGUUGUUUCUUCUUUUAUUUCUUUAUUUAUUUAUUUAUUUAUUUUUUCUUUCUUCUUUCUAUUCCUAACACAUAAUUGACUCAAUGCAGGCCGUUUAUGACUCAAUGCAGGCCGUUUAUGACUCAAUGCAGGACACAACCAUCAGCAGCAUACAUCAAAAAAACAGAAAAUCCUACACUGGAAUCUUGCACCCAGUAGCAGCUGGAAUCUUGCACCCAGCAGCAGCUGGAAUCAUGCACCCAGCAGCAAUCCUAUGUUACCAUCACCACAUCUACACUAUACUAGAAGUUACAGCAAUUCACAUGAGCUCGAGCUCACUCAAAGAUUUAAGUUUGGGGGUAGCUGUUGCAAAUCCAGCACAUAUAUAUCAUUUUGAGCAGUUAUCCAUAACCACACAAUUUGCAGGCAUUCGAAAUUCUACUCACCAGAUGCACGGGUCCACCUUUGGCACCCCCAUGUGAUUCCAUGCCCUUUGAGUUUGUGUGUUGACUGCCCUCUCAUGGAUCUGCAUUUUUCCUACACAGUGCACAUUAAUGUAAGUAUUUGCAGGGACAAAGAACUCACAUCUAUACAUCAACCACAGCUCCCAAAUCAGGACCACAACCAAUUCUGGAAUUAAUCUUACCUUCAGAUGGAUAUUGGGUCUUGACAACAAUCCUUGCAAGAUUAUUGGUCAAGUGGUUCCUGGGUGACUCAGUGUUCUCAAUAUUGCUGAGAGUAAAGGUCUCUCCUCUCAGACCAGUUUUGAAGCCUUGAGAAUUCUGUGGUUGUGGUUUUGCUCCUGUGAAACACACGAGUGACCAGCAGAUUUUUGAAGUCACCAAUCUCAACUUCAAGCUUGGCCACAUAGGAUUCCAAUUCUUUGACAAUUCAAGUGAGCAUCCAAUAGCUGGCAUCCUUUCCAAUUUGGGUUGGGAAUCAAGCAGAUGGUGUAAUUUCAAAAAAAAAAAAAAAAAAAAAAAAAAAAAAAUCAGUUCUGGGUUCGACAGUUUACCUACGAGAUGCACAAAUCUGGGGUCCUUACUGGUGGAGAAUAGACUUUUGUUCAGCUUCAGCUUGUUUUCAUCUUGGAACAAGUUAGCAUCUGGUGACAUGGAUUGAGACAGAUCUGAAUUUGAGGAAUCCAGGGACUCCAAAACCAUCCAAAAAUUCAGGUGCAUCAGAUAAUUCAACCCCACUGGUUGUGUUUGCUGCAGAUGUGGCCUCCUCACACAGAUGAAAAUGCUGGUGUAAUUGGGUUGAAAGAGAGGAAAGGAUCGUGAGUGUUGGAGAGAAUGAAGAAGAGCGAAGGCGGAGAUGGAUGGUCUUGAGAAGAGAGAAAUCAGAGAUCUUUUCUGAUUCUCUGGAACACAGCGAGAGGCUUUGGUUUAUCCAAGCAAUAUUAUUUUUCUUCUGCAAAAUGGGAAUGGACAGAAGAGAGCAUUUCAGCUCUGGGCUCGGGCUAGGAGAAGGGAAUCCAAUAUUUUUCAGAUGACAGAUGCAGCAGCUACAGCAGGUUAUAUUGUAGCUGUCGCUCAUAUUUGACGCAAGUGUGGACGUGGUUGAGUUGGUCAGCGCUUCUUCGCAACACGCCCUGGUCCUGCCUUCGAAUCCCCUUGGUGUCUCAUUUCUGGGUAUUUUCUUUCCUAUUUCUUUUCUAUUAUUGUUUUUCUCCUUUUCUUUCUUAUUUUAUUUUAUUUUAUUUUAUUGUUCUUCUAUUUUGCCUUCCUAAUUUCUUUUCUUAGAGUAUUUUCUUUAUUUUUGAUUUCCAUUUUCUAAGUUUUAGUCGUUUUGUUUCUGCUCUUGUUUCUUUUGAUUAUUUCCCACACCUUGAGGACAAUGUGUGAUUUAAGUUAGGGGGUGGGAACGUAAUUUUUUUUUUUAUUUUUCAUUUUUUGAGUCUUGUUUACAAAUUUUCGUUUUUUUUCAGUCAAUAUCCAUAGAUUAUUUUAAACGUUAGAACAAAUGGACAUGGUGAAAAUCAAUCCCACAGUAGAGUCUUUUCUAUUUAUUGUUGCUUAGACACUAAUUCAUGAAUUAUACUUUGAAAUUUGCACAUCACACCAACAUGGUUUUUGGGGAGUGAGAUUGGAAUACUUAUUUUUUUGUCCAAGUGUGUUUUAAUUUCUGUUCAAUAUAAAUAAAGUUAGUAUGUGUUAUAAAGUAAUAAUUGCCUCACCCGAAACUUUGCUAGUAACCGGGCCAGUCCUGCCUAAUCAGCAGUGAUUCUCGAGACAAAAGGUAGAGUUUUGGCAUGAGGCAGGGUGGUUAGUUGGUUUCGUAGCCUUUUCAGCUUGAGUUAAUAAGUCCUUAGGGGUGUUCUACACCUAGUGCCCUAAAACCCGAGUAGUUUGGGAGACAUUGACCUAAAGCUCGCUACACGGUUGGAUCGAAAGCUUAAGGGAACCAACAUUGCACAACCACUACUGUUACUAUAAAAACAAAAAAAAAAACAAAAAAUAGAAAAAAGAAAUGGAAAUUAAAAAAAAAAAAAAAAAGUGUGGAGUGUGUGAAGUAUGAAUAAAAGGGAUGAGAGUUAAGGGUUUUAGUCGAGUCUCCAUAACCAUAAUGGUUCACUUUACACCGAAGGAAGUUUGUGAAUUCUUUUCUAAUUGAGUCUAAAUAGCUUAGACUCUGUGGUGGGAUUACUUGGAUCUAUUGAAAGGAUGUUCUAGUUUUUAAAAUUUUCUAUGGAUUGCAACUUGAAGAUGGAAAUUUUGUCCUGGUUAAGUGUUAGCCAGAUGUCUAGUCUGUUAAGUUUUUUUAUUUUUUGUUUGAGUCUUGUUUCGCUUGAGGACAAGCAAAAGCUAAGUUUGGGGGUAUUUUGAUGGACAUAUUUUAUAUUAUAUAUUUAACCUCAUUCUUAGUAUAUUUUGGUUAAUAUUUUGGAAGAAUUUUGAUACUUUGAAUUAUAUUUUCAAUAUAGGACUUUCGACUCUCUCUGGAGCAAAACAUAAUCAAAUUGAGGAAUUUUGGAGUAAUUCCAGUUGGAGGACGUUCUUGAGUCACUUAGCUUGAUCGUAUCAAAAUUUCAGAUUUUUCUUCCAAGCGGUUAUUUUCUGGCAAUAAAAUAAAGGAGCAGUGCGCGGUGCUGGAAUAGUGACGUGUUGGGCUUUUAUUGCGUUUUUGGAGCCCAAGAUGACCUCGGAUGGGUUCGUGGCCUUCUAGAGAAGUGUUCAGAACAUUUUUAUCUUUAAAACAAGCUCUCUUGGGCCAGAUUUGGAGGAGAUUUGGGGCCAAAACGUGGCUGGGCAGAUUUUAGGCAGAUUCUCCUAUUCCAAUUUGGACUUUAUUUCCUAGUAUUAUUUUAUUUUAAUUAGUUUCCUUGUGGGGAUAGAAAAGUUGUACAUUGGCAGCUAGGUUUUAAGGGGUAUUUAAGCUCUUUCUCACAGGGAAUUGAGGACUUCUGAAUUACUUUUGAACUUUGUAUUGUGGAGAGCAAUUGCUAGGGUUUUGGGUUUUCACAACUUUCAGGUGUUUUCGUUCUUUUCUUCUUAAUGAUAUUUUCUUGGAUUUCAAUUAUGAGUAUGCGUAACUAAAUUUCUUUUGCUAGGGUGAAGCCUUGAACCUUAGCAUGAAUAUGUGAUUUUUAUUUAAUUGCUUAUGAUGAGUGCAUGCGUAUUUUGAAUUGUUAAUCACUGUUUUAAACUAUCUAAUUGUCUUAAUGCCUGAUCACCAUUAGGAUCUUUAGAAAAGUAAUUGGAUGCAAUUUUGGUCGGAAGGUUCCCUGAAAUUGAUGCUAGCUUCUUGUGAUUAAUAAUUGUAAUUUCACUUAAGAUGAACACCACGUCUUAAGGGUUGCAUGGUUUUUCAAAGGGUUUUCACAAAACUUAAUGAGUCUUUCAUGUUCAGAUUUGAUCCGAACGUCCGGACGGGUUGCAUGUUGGAUAUACGUUCUGUGUUGGAGGUUCCAAGUAGAAUAUACAUUAGGAAAACCUAACCUUCAAAGUGGCAUGUGCAAAUCAUAAGUAAUUGGUAAAAGUUCAUAGGAUUGCUAGGUGAUGGUGAAACCCUAGUGUUUUUAUAAAUUGAUAUUCAAAACUCUUUCUCUCAAUCGUAUUUGUUUUUGUUUAAUAUUUGUUUUUUAGAAUCCACCAAAUUUAUAAUCAUCUUUCUUGACUUUUUAUUUUAAGUAGUAAUUGGAAUUUGUUUUUACAUAAAUUGCUAAUUAGUCCUUGAGGAAAACGACCUUGCAUGAGCAUCUAUACUACAAUAGCCUUGUAUUCUUGCAAGUAUUUUAUGUGAUUUUUAACACUGUUUGCACAAGUACUAAAAAUCCUAUCAUCUAACUUUGCCUUCAUCAUAGAUUGUGCAUAGCAACCUUAUGUAAUCUUCUUCAGAAGCUUCAUAAACAAGCCCUGGGUUUAUAGCAUUUACAGGACUGAUAUGUCCAGAUCCAUAAGCAAAUGCACCAGUUGAAACGUUGUUGCUGGUACCAUUCAUGGGCCAAGCUACAUGCAAAAACAAAAAAAGGUGAAUAUCAUAAUUUUAGAAUCAAGAUGUGGCUGUAACAGCUAUUAUGAGGACAGUACCGGUAGUCAUAAGAGAUGAAAAGCACCAAUUGCCACAGGGUCGUCAUCUAUACCAGCCUCAACAGUUCCCAUUGAAACUGAAAUGAUGUUAACACCAUCAGCAAUAGCAUCAUCAAAAGCAGCCAAGACAUUGUAACCCAAGGACAGGCCCCAGACUUUAUAUGCUACGAUUCUCACAGCAGGAACACCUCCUCCUGCAGUACCAUUUGCUAGUCCAUAAAAGUUUACAUCCUUAACAGCAUUCUCUGCUACCGUUGAGGCAGUGUGAGUUCCAUGACCCAGUUCAUCCCUUGCAGACUCUGCUGUGUAACGUCGAGCUCCAAUUAUCUUGCUGCAAAAUAAACAUUUCAGAAUGUUGAUAUAAUCUUUCUAAGUUUAGAGCUCAACAGUUAUUACAACAAUGCUGCAUAUAUAUUGCUGUCAUGCAAGAUGCAUUUGUCUAUUUAUGAUUUAGUACUAGAAAGAACAACAAUAACUAAAAAGUGUUAAAUUCAAAGAGAUGGGCCAGCAGCCCAUUACUAACAACACCGAUAUUGUCCCCAACUUAACCACCUACAAAACCCAAUAGGUGUGAGGUUUUAUCACAAAAAGCCUCGGUGAUAUUAGUAGUUGAACCAUUCAUUAUAUAUUGUAUUUUAUUUAGUCAAGUUUCCGAUGUGGGACUUAUAUUCUUUAACAAAAAGUACUAAGUUGGUUUCUAUAUUUCGGAAUUAGUUACAUGGAUUUGGUUUUCUAUAUUGGACAACGUCGUGAUCCAAAAUGCAGGAUGAGGGCCAAAAAUAUAUAUCAAGAUAACAGUUUCGAAAUAGAGUAGUUCAGUACACUCUCGGAUGAAGAGUGCUUAAACACUUUGGUAGUUCUCCUGGAUAGGAUUGAAUCCAAAUAAUGAAUCAGAGCACAUGGAGCCAUCUUUUAAUCAUUCUCUCAAGAAAAAAUAUGGUAGUCUAGGUGAUAUUUAUAUAAGUUGCCUGAAGCACAAUGAUAGUAUUAAUUCCCUCUAUUUCUGGUUAGUUUCAUCAUGGUUAUUUUUGUGGGCGUUUUCACAACACUUUAGAAUAUCAGAUCUCCAACUAAAGAUGAUUUGCAUGAUCCUGUAAUAUGAUUAAAUAAGUGAAAAAAAAAAAUGGAGGGAACGUACUUGUUGCAGGUGAAAUUUUUGCCACCGUCACAAACACCUUUCCAACUCUUAGGAGGAGGACCGAAACCAUCGUCUUUAAAGCUCUCAGAUUCAGGCCAAAUUCCAGUGUCGAUCACACCAACAAUAAUAUCACUCUCAACAACAGAAUUUCGACUGACUUUCUCGUUUAAACCCAUAAACUCCCACGAUCUUGUUGUUUGAAGUUGGAAGGUUCUGCUUGGAAAACAGAGACUACUUCCUUCAUCUCUGCAAUACACAGUUUAUUAUAAACAUUAUAAACUCUCAACCCAAACCAUACUAAUCCUUUUAUUAAUGGAAUAAGAAAGUAUCUCAGUGAGCUCACUUGCAAGUUUCUCUCUUUCCUGGUCAGUGAGUUUGGCAGCAAAUCCAUUGAAACUCCUUUUGUAACUUCUUACCAAUAAAUUUUCAGGAGAACUGAGAUAGACAGAGAGCGCUUGUGACUAAAAGGCCCAAAAUGUAAAAUAAGCCUAAGGAUCCAGAUAUGCUUACCUUCCCUGAACAAUACUCUGUAGAAUGUUAAGGUGGUGAGCCAUAGGAGAGUACUCCCCAUCAGGAAGAGACCCCAAGUACACAAUAUGGACCUGCAUUGUAAUUAGUAAUAUCAUCAAGUAAAAAAGAAGACUGUUGUUUUGCUACACAAAUAACUCUUACCUUUCUAUCCUCAUCAGUGGCCUUGCAUAAAAAGCUCAUGGUGAGUAUGAAAAUGGAGAAAGCAUAAUAAACCAGAAAAGCUCCAUACUUAGCCAUUGUUCAAAUUGUUCAAUGCUCAAAAAUUUCAUGGCUGAAGUGCACUUUAUAUACUCGGACUAAUUUAAUGCAUCCAGAUGUUCUCACUCCUAAAAGGCAGUUGUAAUCAGAUUGGGAUUUGCAUUAAAUUCAGACACCAGAUAAUUUAAAGUUUGUUGCAAAUGAAGGACAUGCAGAGAGGGAUUCAGUAGUGACAGUCAACCAGCAAUUAAUUAUUAUGUCAAAACCAUUAUCAUGCAGAGAGUGCUCUAACAAUACUUGGCUUUGCUUUGCAAUUAGAAAGCAUGGGAAUUUCAUGUAUGGAUAUAGCAAGGUCAAACCCAGCUAUCACCAAAACGGUAAUGUUCAAGUACACAGUCUUCUUUUAAAGUUGCUGCAAAGUCCUGGAUUUGGCUAAUCUGGAAUACAAGGGUCAACCAUUAUCAUCUGCUCUAACACUUGCUUCUAACACUUGGCUUGGCUUUGCUACAGGAUAUUGACGUUUUUCGUAACAAUUAUAUCCUUGUGACGAACCGCUAAUUUAGAAAAUUUUAUUGUCAAAAUAUUUAUUGGAAUCGUAUAAUAAAAUAUGAGAAAUAUGAACAUUAGUUUGAUUUGGCAUAGUACUAUCUCACUUACACUAUAGACACAUAUAUUUGUGUGAAGUCAUCUGGUAAAAUAGUUAUUGAAAAUUGUAUUAAAGAGAAAAAAAAAAAAAAAAAAAAAAAAAAAGGUGCACACUUUUUAUUAAUGAAAAACUCACUUAUUUGAGGCUAUUAAAUUGAAAGCUGAAUUUAUAUAUAAAAGAGAAAUGCAUGAAUACAUGUUAAAAUAUUUUUUUUUAGUACAAAAGAUUAUGAGAGGGGAUUUGCCCACAUAGGUGAACGUUAAAGAGCUCAACCAACUGAGCUAUACCUCACUGGCAAAAUACUUCUUUUAAAUCAAACGUACAGACAACAUCAUGGCUAUUGUAACUCAUUUGAUAUAAGAAAAAGACACUGAUUUUUCAAGGCAUCACCAAAACACCAAAUUCACUCUAAAUAAAGUAUGUGGGAUGUUAUAUCUCCAAGAAUAUCAAUAACGAGAGGUCACUGUACUUAUCUCCUUGCCUUGCCAACAAGCACAACUAACUUACAUCAGCUCUGAGAAUUGAGUACACAUAGAAAACAACUUGCAAAAAGUAUUCUACUUAUGGUGAUGAUGCUGAGACUAAUCAUUAAUGUCUCGAAAGUAAUGUUACAAUAUCUUAUAAGUUAUAACUGCAUGAAUUUGACUACAAUAGUCUUAUAUAUAUACUACAUUGCAGUCUAGGAGAGAAUCCAGUGCUUGACACCAAAGCAGAUUUCCUAUGCUUUUCACGCCCUCUCAGGUAACGAUCACAUCCUUGGACAUCUUCCUGGGCAAUCACUAGAGGUAUCCAAAUACAAGGACAGAAACUUGACUUAAACCAAGUUAAACUGAAAACUAAUGCAUGUGUAUCUCAGGAAGUGAUUCCAAAAAGUUUUCUUACAUGUUAAAUAGGACUUGGUCACCCAAGGGAGAUGGCAUGAUCAUGUAUGGAGAUAAUUGGCUGCCAUCAUCAACUCCAGAACCAAUUCAGGUUCAAUAUGAAACUCGGUCUGCUUCCCACUGUCAAAAGAGCAACAUGACAAGUCAAUAAUAGGGAAAAGGAGAGUAGAUGAAAACCACCUUCUGACCACGCUCUCAAAUUUGGAUUAGUUCCAACAAAAAACCUUGGUCAAUUCAACUUUCCACCAUUAUCUUGGUAAGAAACCAGCAAUUGAAAUUGGCGCAAGAGACGAUACGCAGAACAUUCUAAUUAUACCGUCUCCAAGUCCAGCAGUAAACAAUCAAAAUCAUUAAAUCAAGCAUGUAGACCUAACUUACCAAAAAAAGAAAGGAAAGGAAAUACUGUUAUAAAGCACUCAAAAAACUUCACUCAAUAUAACAUGUCAGACUGAAAGAUCCUAGAGUCUCUAGGAGCCUAACAUGCAAACUCUAGCAACCUACUAUGCAGAUUAUUUCAAGGGGCCACUGAUCCCAGCAUAAUUCUUAAUGUUAACCAUUGAUUAGGCGAAUUUUUGUUUGAAUGGGCGGUCUAGAAAGGCAGUUUGGAUAGCACAAUCUCCCCUAACUUAUUCAUUGUUCAAUAUAAAUUUCAAUUCAGAAACCCAUCAAUCUUCUAAGCAAUAGCAUGGAUGCUGCAAAAAUAAUUAUAAGCAGAAUAGGGGGGAAAAGCAGAGGGAGAGAAUCUAAACCUUGCAUAUUGAAGGUUCCAGUAAAAAUACUUGCAGAUCUUCUCAAGAAUGGUGGUGCUGAUCUCAGGGAACGUCACCUCGCCGUGUUCCGUUUCAGCAAAACUCCCUACCAAAAAAACCAAGCCAUGUGAUUUCAAACCCUAAUCCCCUAAUUGCUCCUCAGUUAAAACCAAUUAGACAGAGAAAAGGCCUUACCUGGAGAAGUGAGCAUGUUUCGGAUGGUCUGAGAGACCAUGGCGGCGUCUUUGUGGAUCACGAACUCGAAGCCCUCGGCGCUGAUUAGUUUCACAGUCUCUUCCUUCCUCAUCUUGCAGUGGAAGUCGAGAUUGAUUAAGUUUCGAAUUGAGUGGUAGAGGAGGGAAGAGAUAGAAUUAUAAACACAGUGAGAAAGCCUGUUUAAGUGAUUUUGCUUCUGCGUUGAGGUUGAAGAAGACGAAUUUGUCUGAUAAUCUUAUGGAGUUAGAUUCUGGCAGCGGCAAGUUCCGUGGAAGCCUUCAGAACCAAGCGUAACAGCGAUAUUCAACAAGCAUGCGUUUUCUAGUGCGAAUACAUGUUUUGUUAUACAGUUUCACACAUAUACAAAAAUAAUUCAUCAAAAAUUUAUGCACACAUGUUACGUUUUAAAAAAUUUCUAAUUUUUUAUUAUCAAAUUUCUUUUUUUUCUUUUUUUUUUUUAAUAAGUCUUGACUUAUAAACUUGUGAUUUUAAAUUUUUCCAUAAUACCUAUUCUUUAUAAUUUAGAGACUAUCAUGUGUAUUCAAAAUUUCUAUUAAAAUUUUAAGAUAUUUGUAGGGGCGUGCAUAGUGCGAUUUGUUUGGUUUAAGUUUAAAAUCACACACUGAACCAAAGAAAUUGGGUUUACACUUUAAAUUAAUAGUUGAACAAACCGAAUAAAUGCGUUUGAAUGAGGGAAAUAAACUUAGAAUUUUGACAAAACUCAGAAUUUCUAAAUUGACAUGAACCAAUUCCUCUGUUUAGAUAAUAAUAAUAAAAUUUAGAAAUUUAGAAAUUCUACGUGGAAAAAAACAUGGAAUUUGGAGAUCAUAAAUCUUAACUUUAAAUUCUAUCUAAAAGUCGUCAUUUCUAAAAUCCCAAGAGAGAUUGAGUUUUUAAAAAAGAUAACUUUACAAAUAAAAGUUAAAUUCUGUGUUUUAAAUCCGUCACCCAAACAAAAAUUUUUACAAAUUGUAGAACAUUAAUUUCCGUCAUUUUAAAUUCCAUCAUUUAAGAAAUUCUUUAUACUUUUAAAUUUCCUCUCCAAACGUAUUGGUGAUAAGUUUUAGUUUGGACUGUCUCUCUCUCAUGCUAAAUUAAAUAAAUAUUAUUUAUUCUCGAACAUAUAUCAAAGGAAACUUUAUACCGCAAAUUAUAUAAUAGUUGUAAGAAUUUCGUAUCAAAAAGAUGAAGAUAGAGAAUGACGUCAAACUGAAAUAGUUUAGGGAUAUUAGUUUUUGGUACUAAAUGUUUAAUAUCAAUGUGUGUGAUGAACACAAUAAUAAAAUGUCAAUUUAAAAAAAAAAAACUAACAAAUUUAAGUGGUUUUCAAAUAAAUCAAAACUAACUAACUCAAAUACAUUGUGGUUUGGUUUGGUAUAAAAUUAUAAUUUUAGUGUAAAAAUCAAACAAAUCGCUCAACUUAGUUUGGCUUAAUCGGUUCGACCAGUUUUUUUCUCAACCAUACUACUUGCAAGGCCACGAGGCCAUAGUGAGUGUUCAUAAGCAUAACACACAGGUUUUGGUGGUGAGCAAUUCUUCUAUGUGGCCAAAAUACAGGGGGAAUUCAGUCUUUGUGAGGGUGGUCACACUUCCACGUGAUUUGCACUACCAUAUAUAAGAAUUUAUCUAUUGAGAUUAGAGCAAUAGGGCAAAAUGUAAUUCUUAUUUUUAGACAAGCAAUAUUGAAGGAGAGAGAAUCGAAUCUAGAACCUCAAAUGCAAGGAUAUAUAUUUUUAACCACUUAAACUACAAAUCCCUUACUAAAUGCAAUUCAUCUUAAAAUAUUACUUUUCAUUAACAGCGACUCGACUGAGUUUUGUUUAGGAUUUGUCUGCUAUCUUUACCUUUUGUUUGAGUUUUUGUGGGCUUUAGGCUUGUUGUGGGCAUUAUGUCUUUUAUUUGGACUUCUAGUCUUUUUGCUUUGAUGUUGCGCUCCGUUUCUUGAGUCUCACUUUUAUACUGUAUUUUGCACCCUUUUAUGAGUUUCUAAUGAACUCUAGUUCCGACCAAAAGAAAGAGAGAAAAGGUUAUAGAAUCUUUGUGCCAAUUUUGCACCUCUAAAGUCAACGUGACGAUUUGGCGGCAAUAUUCAGAAAUUGAUCAUUGGACACUACGGUUAAUUAUUACAUUUUGACUUCACAUGAUAGUUUUUGAUUACUCACACAUCCAAUGAUGAAAGCCAAUUAUAUUAACAAAAUAUUCAAAUGGUUAAUGAUGCUUUUCAUUACUUUAUACACACUAAAAUUCUAAGGGCUCGUUUGGUACACAGGACUGUCUUGACAUGGACUAUACUUAGGGACUGGCUUGGCUUGGUCUAAGUUGGAUAACACUUAUCCUGCGUUUGGUGUAUGCUUGGACUAUUAAAUAAUAUAAACGUACAUACAUAUAUAUAUAUAAGUGUAUAUAGGUGUAUAUAUGUAUAUUAUAAUAUACAUGGGUAUAAUACAUAUACAUAUAUUUAUAUAUAUGUAUGUAUAUUAUAAUAUAUAAUAUAUAUAUGGGUAUGUUAUAAUAAUAAUAAUAUACAUGUAUAUAUGUGUAUAUAUGUAUAUUAUAUAUGUAUGUAUAUAUACAUAUAUAUUAUAUAUAUUAUAAAAUACAUAUGUAUAUAUAAUAUAUGUAUAAUAUAUGUAUAUAUAUUAUAUAUUAUAAUAUACAUAUAUAUAUACGUAUAUACAUGUAUAUAAUAUAUGUGUAUAUAUGUGUAUAUAGGUGUAUCUAUAUAUUAUAAUAUAUACAUGGGUAUAAUACAUAUACAUAUACAUACGUAUAUUAUAAUAGAUAAUAUAUAUAUGGGUAUGUUAUAAUAAUAAUAUACAUGUAUAUACGUGUAUAUAUGUAUAUUAUAAUAUAUAUACAUAUAGUAUAAAUAUAUAAUGUAUAUGUCUAUAUACGUGUGUAUAUGUAUAUUAUAAUACAUACAUGGGUAUAAUAUAUACACAUAUAUGUAUAUAUACUUAUAUAUAUAUGUAUUAUAAUAAUAUAUAUUACAUAUAUACAUGUAUGCUAUUAUUAUAAUAUUAAUAUGCAUAUGUAUAUGGGUAUAUUAUAAUAAUAAUAUACGUGUAUAUAUCUAUAUGUAUUUAUAUAUUAUAUAUGUAUAUAUGUGUUUAUAUAUAUACAUGUAUAUACGUGUAUAUAUGUACCUUAAUAUAUAAUAUAAUAUAUGUUACAUAUAUACAUGUAUACAUGUAUGCUAUUAUUAUAAUAUUAAUAUGUAUGUGUAUAUGAGUAUAUUAUAAUAAUAAUAUACGUGUAUAUAUCUAUAUGUAUUUAUAUAUAUUAUAUGUGUAUAUAUAUAUAGACUUGUAUAUGUGUAUAUACAUGUAUAUAUGUACAUUAUAGUAUAUGUGUAUGUAAUAAUAAUAAUAGUAAUAUAUGUUAUUAGUAUUACAAUAUAAUAUAUGCAUCUCAUACAUUGGUAAACAUAGGACUAGCUAAUCCUUCCUUUCUACAUAGGAUUAGUAGUCCUCUCUUAAGGAGGUGUUUUUGGUGGGCCCGGUAUUAGCAAUCCCAUCUAAAACUAGAAUUAAAUGAAACAAACAUGGUACUAAAUUUAGUCCAAACCAGUCCAAGCCAACCCUGUAUACCAAACGACCCCUAAGAUAUAUAUAUUGUGCCCCAAAAAAGUCUAAAUCAUAUAUAACUACCCGUCACACAAAAGUUUCACCCCACGUAAAGAAUAAGGUUAAAGUAAUUUAAAUUCACCACAUGAAAAAUGCGAAGCUAAAUUCUUCAAGAUCAAUGCUGAAAGGUUAAUGGCUCACGCUUCAUGAAUGUCAUCAACAUUUGUAAAAACAAUUGUAUUUGUCAAUGAAUAUAGAUUGCUAAUAUCAUUUGUUUGCUUUUAUAAUCAAACCAAACUUAGUAAGCGCUUUGAUUCGGUCAUUUCUCUUCAUAAACAAUUAAGUAAAUAUUAUAUAUUUGCUUACAUUACCUUCAAUUGUGAAAUCUUACCAUUGAAGAUGGAAAAUUUUUGAGAGAGAAAUUACGUUAAAUUGGAAUGGUUUAGAGACCUUCGUUUCUUUUUUUUUCUUUUUUUUUUAUAAAUCUUUUUGUAAAAUGCGAAUCAAAUCACUUGAAUACCUUUGUUUGAUCGGUUGAGAUAAUUUAUUAAUAUGUGUUUAGCCAACCUCUAAUUUCAACAAUUUAUUAAUAUGUGUACAAAAAAUUAUCAACGUUUGAUGUAGGUGGGCUCUAAAAUAAAAUUUAGGCACAAUCAACAAUUAAUCGGCCGUUCAAUUUUGCGCUGGCGACUGUCCAAACAGGAAACAAAUCUUAAUUAAUUAAUUAAUUAAAAAAUUAAUUUACGGCGUGGGAAAACACUAAUUGAAAAUUAAAAACAUCCCUCUGGCACCAACCGCCAGGCCAGGCUGCCCCUGUCAGAGGCAUGAUUCUCACUGUCGUACUCUCACAUUGACGAAUGACAAAGUCCCAGUUGUCCUACAAAACGACACCGUCUUCCACCCCAGAAAGGAAUCUAUUUAUUUGCCGUUUCAACGUUCAAAAGCCUCCCCUUGGCCCCCUCUCUCUCUCUCUCUCCUCUCUCUCUCUCCACCCACCUCAUAGUUGUUUCCGUUCUCUCAUUUCCUUGCUCUUUGAAAAGCCCACGCCACACCACAACCCUCUGCUGUGCUCUCUCCGCUCCAAUUCGUGCAGUGACUUUGAUUGAACACUUGGAUCGCAUUCUCCCCUCGAUCGAUUCGCCUUAGGGUAAGUCAUGCGAUGAGUCUCAGAAUUCAGAUCUAGAUAUAUAUGUAUAUAUACAUAUGUAUAAUUGUGUGUGUGUGGUUUUGAUAUGGUGUGUUUGGAUUUGAAUUGGUUGCAGGUCAAAGAGAUCGGAGAGGAGAGGCUGUAUGGCGAGUAGAGUAGACCACGAGUACGACUAUCUGUUCAAGAUCGUAUUGAUCGGUGACUCUGGUGUGGGCAAAUCUAACAUUCUCUCUAGGUUUACCAGAAAUGAGUUCUGCUUGGAAUCUAAGUCAACUAUCGGCGUCGAGUUCGCUACCAGAACUCUCCAGGCAAGUCGCCUUCUCAUUUGAUCUUGUUUCUAAGUCUUGCUUAGUCUGUUUGUGUGUAAAUCUGUGUGAAAGUUGAUAAAUGUUUCACUUGCUUAAUUUUAUUGGCGUUGAAUGUGAUAUUUGUUUGUGAUGUUUCCUAGGUGGUUUAAGGUUUGGGGUUUUAGGAGUUUGAAUUCAUUUGGUUGAAGUUGUUUGGAUGCUUAAGAGCAUGUGAUGAUUAUUUGGAUUUUGUUUAUGGAUUUACUUUGUUUGAUUGAAGAUCAUCAAAUUUGUUAUUAAUAGCUUGGUGGAUGGAGCUUGGGUUUGUUUCUUUUAGUACUUUGGUUUUUAGAAGAUCAGAAUUGGUUGUUCUGGAUGGGGUACUCAAUGGCCAAAUAAGCUUGAUGAACUGUUGGGGAAAACAUCCAGCAGUUGCCUGUUGAUGAUAUUUAAGUUUGAUAAUCAAACCAAACUUGCAUAGUUUCAUGGAGGUAUAUGCAAGAACAUGUGUAUCAGUUUUCUUCAUCCUUCCUAUUUGGAACAUAAUAAGAGAGUACAAACUGAUCACAAUUGGAAACUAAAUAACAGCCCAAUGAGGUUGGGGUUUGUUUAAAUCUAGUCUUGAGUUUGUUUGGUGGGUCAGGAUACUAUGGGUCAGUUAGUUUUGUGUUGUGCAUAGGCCUGUUGAUUGAACGCUUUGUAUACAGACCGAUGAGGACACUUUUUUCUAGAACAUAUACAGCUAAUACGGUUGAAUGUAAAGUUUCUCUUGUAAUAUGAAUGGCGUAAUACGGGUUCCAGAGAAUAUUCAUGAGUUUGAAACAUACAAUUGUCUUUGUAGUGUACCAUUCAGUAUGUGUUGAUUACUAGAAAAGAACCAUAAAUACAAUGUAUAGAUGACACAAGUGGGUUUGUGAAUUAUGGCUUGCAAUUUGAUCUGAGCUAAAACUCCUUGUCUGGGAUUACAGGUUGAAGGAAAGACUGUGAAGGCACAGAUCUGGGAUACAGCAGGUCAGGAGCGAUACCGUGCUAUCACCAGUGCUUACUAUAGAGGGGCAGUGGGUGCUCUCCUUGUCUAUGACAUAACUAAGCGGCCAACUUUUGAAAAUGUCCAAAGGUGGCUCCGUGAAUUGAGGGACCAUGCAGAUUCGAACAUUGUUAUCAUGAUGACAGGAAACAAGUCUGACUUGAACCAUCUUAGAUCUGUUUCAGAGGAUGAUGGUCAGACCUUGGCUGAGAGGGAAGGUCUCUCAUUUCUCGAGACAUCAGCAUUGGAAGCAACCAAUGUUGAGAAGGCAUUUCAAACUAUUCUUACUGAGAUCUACCAUAUUGUAAGCAAAAAAGCACUGGCAGCUCAGGAAGCAGUCUCGACUACCCUGCCUGGUCAAGGAACCACUAUCAAUGUUAGUGAUGCUUCUGGGAACAAUAACAAGAGAGGUUGCUGCUCUACAUAAAAGAUGACACCUAGGAGAGGAGACGAAAUAUUUUCUGGAUGCCAGACCUUUUUAUUUUUCUUUUCUUUAGUUUUUUCUUCUUCUCUUUUUUGGGUGACAGGGAGGCAUGUAGAAUACAAUUUUACUUCGUUGAGUUGUGAUUAAAAAAAAAGGCUUGUGAAAAUUAAAUUGAUAGUAGUAUUGGUACAUUUUGGGGGUCUGCUUUUACUUAUGAUUCACCAUUUGUUAUAUGUUGCUUUUUAUAAAGUGUUAACUACCGAAAUUUGGAAUGUUAGGUAGAACUUGGCAUCUCAAAUUAAAGAAUCAAUGGAACAGAUUCAGAGUUUUAUUCAGGGUUUCGUUUCUGAGCCACUUCUAAAAUUGUAAUAAAGGCUUAAUACCUUUUUAUUAUAUCCUAAAUUCACUUCUUCUUUUACCUUCUCCCCUGUAAUCGAUUUGCUUGCAAAGUCUCUGUGGUGGUGGCAUUUGCACCGUGCUUUUUUUUUUUCUUCUUGUUCUGGGUUGCAGAGUUCAUAAACAGUUUGUGCUCAACUCAAUCUGAAGUUCAGUUAACCAAACGUUGAAUGUAGUGGUUGCCUGGUGUGUUUGCCAGUUCCUCACUAACUGAGUGGCUUGAAGUUUACGUGCUCAAAACCUGUUCAAUUCGUGAGGAUGGUAGACAGAGGCAUCACACUUUCCAUAUCUCGAGUUCUCUUAAAAGGUUAAGAGGAAAAGGUAAGAAUUUAAUAAGAUCCAACAAAAGUGUACGUUUUUCACCCAAAAAACAAACAGAGGAUAGGCUGAAUCUGAAGUCUACUAUUCAAUCUGUAUAGUUACAUGAUGUAUUCUGUAAGUUUUUUCACAGUAAUCCCUAAUUUUGCCAAUUAUCUGACUAGAGCUCACUGCCGGCUCUGCCUUUACAUGGCAAGACAAAACCGUUUUUCCAACUGUCAGUUCCCAAACAUGUAGGUCUUGAAUAUCCUCAACCCCUUUGAUGCACUUGAGGCCUUUUUCUAGAUUGGUGAUAUCAAUCUCACUUGGUGUUCUCUCCAUCAGUAUGCCAUAUAUAUUUCUAAGCAUCGAUAUAGUUGUGCUAACAGCAAAAACAGAAAAUAUGAGUGUGCAUAUCAGAUCAACUACUAACCAAUCUGGCUUUGCCCAUAUGAUGCCUCCAGCAAUCAUCACCCCAACAGACUGAAUCAUAUCAGCGAUGACAUGCAAGUAAGCUCCUUGGAGGUUUAUGUUUAAAAUUUUAGUAUUUUCUGAAGAACUUGAUACCAGACUAGUUUUAUCGUCUUCAAUUAUUGCAUAUUCUUCCUCCCUGUUGUGAUGAUGAUCGUGAUGAUGAUCGUGAUUAUGCUCCUGAUUAUGAUCGUGAUGAUGAUCAUGACCUAAGCCUCCACAGGCAUGAUGAGUGUGAUCAUGACCGAGCCACAUGACCAUGAUUAAGUUGACAAGAAAUCCAAAUGCUGCAACUUCAAACAUGAGGAAUCCAUUCACCUUUUCAUUUUUGUGAAGGAUUCUGUCAACUGCUUCAAAUAUCAAGAUCCCAGAGACCAGCCAUAUUAGCUGCACAGACAGAAGGGCACUCAAAACCUCAAGACGGUGAUAUCCGAAAGACUGGUAUGAUGUUGCCUCCCAACCUGAAGCCAUUACUGUGAAAAGAGCAAUGGAGAAUCCAGCAACAUCAGUGAGCAAGUGGGCUGCAUCCGUGAGUACUGCAAGGCUAUUGGCUUUGACACCACCAAUAAUUUCCACCACCAUAAACAAGACAGAGGCAAUAAUGAGUCCACAAAGUUUUUUUGCUGACUUAGACCGUUCUCUUGAAUCCAAACUACAAUGUUCUUUUUUGAAGAAAACACAAACAGAAGAGCAAGGUAACUGGGGUGGCACAGGAAGAGCAUCACUUCCUUCAGAUACUAUUGGGAUCUCAAUUUCCUGAGACUCUGUUCUAGUAAAGGGUACCUCCUCAUGGUCCAUCUGCUUCAGCAAAGUCAUGGUUAACACUUAAUUUCUUAAACGAAGAGGGGAAAAUAUGAUAAAGAGAUUCAUUAAUAUGAUUAAUUGAUUACGCUCAUUCAAAGACAAAUAAGCCAUACUUGAGUGUUAUGGAAUGAAGUUUCCACUGGUUUACUUCAGUAAGAGAAAAUCAGAACAUACCAUGGCAAAUACUCCCAGAUCUCUUAGGAAAUUAAAUGUCAACUUUUAACUGUUUUGGCAUUACAGAACAGGCUGAGAUCAAGGGCUUGAAUUCAGCUGUGAAUAUAAGCAUCAGUUGAUGAACUUCUAACUAGUUUGGGACUUCAAAAUAUAUAGUUAACCAUAUCACUUUUUGCCCCCGAUUUUUUUCCCUGGUGUUUAAUUAGAGUACACAAAAUCAUCAAGUUUCAACCACAAAAGUACAAAUAUGAAUUUAUGGGAUAGAGCAAGAAAAACAAAAUUACAAUUCAUCUUUCAAACUCUCAAUUCAUUUGAAAAACCAAGAAUUUCCGAACUCAAGAUUCAGAAAAGUAGUUAGUUUCAAAUCCUAGUCCAUCAGAGCUGAUAAGCAACAAAAUCCAUUCACACAUCAGAAAAACAGCAUCAAGUUCAGCAAAAUGAAGCUGCAGAAAGGCAGGUUACCAUGUAGCAAAACUGAGCAGCUGUGCAAGCUAGCUAACAUACAGCAAGCUAGCACACAGCAAAGUGAGCUGGCACCAAGCUGCUCAGAGCUAAGUCAUAUGCUAGCUCCAAUCCAGCUCAAAGACCACAUCAGCUAAUCACUGCAACUAAUGCAACAGGUUAAAUUAAGCUUCAGUUAGUUUCUGUUGGAUUAAUUACCGGUAGGGAUUUCUUCUACUUAGAUGGAAAUUUCUAAUGGUUCGGUUAGCUUGGUUUCAUUGUGUGUGUGACUGGAAUCCAUUUGAUUAUUGAAUGGAUAAUUCUAAUCCUUCCUUCUUCUUUUUUGUAGCAAUCUUGGAAUUACAUCAAGAACCACCUCCAGCAUCUCUCCAACCCUUCAUUUCUUGUUCUACCUUCUGUCCGAAUGCUGCUAGUACAUCCAAUAACAGCAAACUAAUUGCUUCAACUACCAAAGCACAUUUGACCUUGGUUAUUCUCAGUCAUUUGUCAAAAGCACAGACCAAAAACCACUGCUUCAUCGCAAUCGACCUGUCUUCGCAAUAUGUACAAUGCCCUCUUGAGCAUAUACUAAAGCAAAGAUGAUAACAUAAAGAUAGCACUUCAAAAUUCCAAAACCAAAACUCUGCUUCUGUACAACCAGAAGAAUAUCACUAUAUCAGCUGGUUCUAUCAACUCACUAUGUUAGACCCAGAAAAUGGGUUGCAUGAUUUUCUACAAUCUCAUGCUUCUAUGUGCCUCACUAAGAAUCCAAAAACUCAAAAUCAGGGGUGCUUGAUGAUCAUAAAGAAUCAAUUUUAACGCCCUGCUCAAUCCCAAGCAUUCAACUUUGCAACACAUCUAAUUAACCUAAGAGACCCAAAACUUCAAAUUGCGUGAACUACCAUUAUGCUUUAUUUGAUACAAUCAUAUAAUCAAAAUCCACAUGAAAAUCCAAAUACCCACUUCAAAAAAAAUCAAAGAAUCCAAAAAGUUAAACAAAGAUAUACAGAAUUUUUUUUAAAGUGAUCAAUUGGAGGUACCUGAGAAUCAGAGAAGAGCGAAGAACAGCUUUGACGGGUCUCUUUGGGGUCUCACAGGUUUAAAAAGGGUCAAUGGAAUUUAUAGGGAAAGAUUGAAAUGAAUUAAUUUGGUUGUUACGUACAUGGAAAGUUGGAAAAUCACUCAUAAUGUGUGUGCUCAGUCGUCAAGAAGUAAAAAAAUGCGUGCUCAAUGCUCAAUCCUCAAUUCUCGGGGACUACGAUCCUUUCAGGUUUAACGUUAAAGACAUCGGAAUCAGGACGAAAACAAUGGGGUUGAAGGGUCGGCCUGCAGUGGUAAAUCAAAUUUGAGAAAUCCCAAACUCCCCAAAAUUAAUUGGGGAAAAAGUUUAGAGAUUUCCCAAACUUGGGAAGUAGUUGAAUUUGGGUUUUAAAUGAUUUUCACUCAAUUUUGAUUCGAUUCGUUCGAGCAAGAGUUUGAAGAAUUCUGUGCUCGCAUCAAAAAAUAUUGGCGAAGAAGUUGGAACCCUUUAUUAAUUGUCUUUGCCUUCUUUUUCAGGCCAAAAGUUUUGUAAUUUGGCAUUAAUUUUUUAGUUUUAAUUUUUUAGUUUUAAUUUUAAGGUGUUAUUAUGGAGGUUCGAAUUUGAAAUCAUUAAUUUGUAACUCAAGACUAUUUGUCAUCCAACUAGACCCCGUUGACAAUUAGUUGUCAAUCUAAAUGAUCUUUUUUUUUUCUUCUUACUUUUAUUGUUUUAACAAAAUGAUAUUUUAAUUAUUCAAAUGUAAAUAAAGGAGAUUAAACUCAAGUGCAAAACAUAAGGCAUAUUAGAGCAACUUCAUUCAUUUGCCUUUAGCCAUGACAAGGGGGGAAUUAGGGCAGCCACUAUUUACGUGAAUAGUGGUUGUCCUUACAAAUAGUAUUUUGUGUUUCCACCCAUUGCUAUGACUAAGGGCAAUUACUAUUCCUGUUUUUAUUUUUUCACAACUUUUUUUUACUUAAAUAAUUAAUUUGGAUAAUAUUUUCGAAUAAGAUUUUUGGGUUCCUACGUGUCAAUACUAUUCAUAUCGGAUAAGAUUUUAUUUUAUUAGUUGUAUUGGUUGGUAUUUAUAGAAAAAAAAAAGUAUGAGGAUUUGGUGUUAAAGGUGAAGAGUAUUGGUUGGUAUUUAUAGACACGGGCGGACCCAUAAUUUUUUUAGCGGAUGUGCAAUAUUGACUAAGUAUGAAAAAUGGUUUUUCGGAAUAAUCAUUUUUCUCAAGAUAAUUUUUGGUGGCUUUUAUUCCUUGCACAUCAAAUAAGAAAACUUGAUUUUAUGGAAUUUUAAUAUGAAGUAUAUAUUGACUUAAUGAGCCAUCAUUUUUAGCCUAAAUCGUAUUUUGCACUAAAACCGAUUUUUCAUAUUUUGAUUUGGUGGGAAUUUGAUUUUCUAGUAUUUUUAUUUGAAUCCAAAUGGGGGGUACUUCCGUAUUUACAUUGUAAACUUAAGUAAAUGUAGUAAUAUAAAAAUAAAUGAAAGUAAAAGGACAAAGAGAUUUACUUAAAUGUUGAAAAUGGAAAUAAGGUAUAGAGAAAAAAAAAAUCAGUAAUUUUUUAUAAAGUUUUUACGCUUUUUUUUCUAUUUUUUUAUUGCAGAAAAAUUGGCUGCCAUUGGAUUGAAGGAAAAAAUCAUAUCGGAGAGCUCAGACGCCGACACGUGGAAGCUAGUCAUUGGCGGCUACUGUAGCGCGAGGCUGACGCCAGCGAUGACAUCACCAGCCCUCGGGCUCGCACUCAGGCCAAACUCCACCUCAGGCCAGCCCAGUCUGGUGGCCCCCACCUCUUGCCCGGGCUGCCUUUUACUGCUGGAAACGCCUUUUUCUCCCAAAUCCCCCUAGCCCGAGUUCAGCCUUAGCUGCUGGACUUGCUCUUAUGGCAUAACCUACGUAUGCCAAAAAAUUACGUCAUAGCAAAGAAUCCAUUAAUGUAGUGAUAUGAAGUAAUUACUCCCCCAUACAAAAUUCUAAGUUCGAGUCUUUGUAUCCGUAUUGUUCGUAUAAAUUUUGUGUAUUAUCGCCCCUCUAAUAUGAAAGGUCCCAAAAAAAAGAAGGUCAUAUUUGCUAGAAAAGACCCCAUCAUGUUUUGUGUUAACAUAUUAUGAACGUGUAAACAAGGGCGGAAGUGUGAUUGGGGUGGGCUAUGGUGCAGGAUUUGGUAAAAGAAGACUAAAAUUUGGUACAACUAUUUACAAGCUCUCCCUACUCUUCUACUCUCAUAAAUAUUAGCCCACCCCUCCUUACCAAGUCAAAGCGUAGUUGUUGGGUUCAACUUGUACAAGCAAAUAUGACGAACAAAAGAACUUCUAGAAACUGAACAAGACAUGUUGUUGUAUACCUUGGGUUCUUGUUAGGUUCAAUUUGUACGAGUAAAAUGAGGUGAUUCUUGCUCACAUCACUUUGCCUAAAUGUCCAUCUUUAUUCUUCAUGUGUUUUUAUGUGUUUGUUUUGAAAGUAAGUCACAUAUACAAAUUGAACUUAGUUUUCAUUUGAAUCCCAGAAUUCCAUUCUAAUCUGAUAAUGCCACUAGCAAAUCUAUUUUGAAUAUUUAUUUCUUUUGCUUCUACCUUUAUUGCCGUAAAUAUUUGUGUGAUGCUUGAAAAUAUGUACUUGAUUUCUUUUUAUUUAUUUGUAUUUGUGCUUGUUUGUGUUAUUGUUUAGAAUUUUUUUUUUUUUAAAAAAGAAGAACUUGUUUGGUUUUUAAAUUUUAACUAGACUACUUUAAAAAUAAACUGAAUUUAUUUUUCUCAAUAUUGAAGUUUAGGGUUGCUAAUGAACAUACAGAAAAAAGAAGUUCAAAAUUGGAUCUUCCUUAAAUGCUUCAUGUAUGAAUUGGAGCUCACUUGGAUCUUCCUUAUAUGAUUGCUAUUAUAAUAAGAAGAAAUGCAUUAAGGCUUCUUUAAAUAAAAAAAACUUUCUUUGAUUUUAUUUGUUUAAUACAAGCGAUAGUCUAACCUAUAAUAAGAGGGGGUUUCAAGGGCAGGUGCCAUGAGGAUUCGUACUUGAGACCAAUAGUCUGUAAAUCAAUGUUAUUUUUCACUAGGCUAUACUCCAUUAGCAACUUUCUUUGAUUUUCGAUUGCACGGGUUUAGGAAUGUUUUAAGAAAAUGAUGAAAAAGGAAAUGGGCUUUAUCUAUGGGCCCAGGCCCAGUACCUGAAUCUCUUCCAAAACAUAAAAGCGGUUCGAUCGUCUCUUUCAUUUGGGCCUCCGGACCGUUGGAAACUUUUCAGAUCACCGUUCUAUCUCCGCAAAACAAUUGCAGCGAGAAACACAGUGCAGUCGCAGAGGCUGACGAGAGAGCGAAUUCCUCCGCCUUUGCUCGUCUUUACUCUGCCAUGGAUUCACGCCACGCAUCUCUAGGCCGACGAACGGUUGAGAUCUCAUCGCCCGCCACCUGUUUUUUUUUUUCAAAUUUAUAUCCGAAUACUCGUAUUUUUCUUCAAUUUGUUCAUUUGAUUUGAAAUUUUCAGUUGGAAGAUAUUCGCCAAAAGAGAGCUGCAGAAAAAUUGAGCAAAACUUCUUCGGGACCCGAUCUCAGCAAAGCCUCAAUCCCUAUCGGUUCGUCAUCUAUAUUUUGUUAAAUUUCCCAAUUAAAUUUGCUAUUGAUUUUGUGAGUUAUUGCUAACGUCGUUCAUUGCACAGACCAUGUAGGAAUGAGAAAAUCGGAGAGUGCAAGUCGGCUAUCUGAGGUAGGAGGAGCUAGUUUCUGUAUUUUUUUUUUUAAGAAAAGAAAAAGUUUCUCAUUUUUUUUUUUUUGAAGCUUUCGUUUGGUUGCUGAGAAAAUCAAGUUCAAAUUCUCAUGUAAUUUUAAUGGCUUGUGCAGAGCGACGUUGGGGUUUUGGUUGCUCAGAUACAAGACUUGGAGAGGAAGAAUGCAGAACUGGAAGAACAAAACAAAAACUUGGCUUCCAUGGUAGGUCUAUUAUUUAUGUAGUUUUGUGUUUCUUUCUUAGUUUGCAGUUUAGGAGACUUUUAGUUAUGGGUGAUGAUCAAUUGUGGUGUGCCUAAUUAGUUAGUUUUCUUGAUGUUUCAGCUUGAAACAAAGGAAGCUGGGGGUGACGUGCUGCAGAAACGUUUGAAUGAUCUGGUAAUUGCAACUUUUAAAUAUCUUCAAUUUCCUUUUCAGUAAAAGAUUUUGUCUGUUUAUGUCUAUUGUAUUGUCAUCUCUGUCUUCCAUAUAUUAUGUCUUGUUAUGUCUGUGUAUAUUGUUUUCUUUUCAGGGUGCAUAUUAGUUUUUUGCUGCUUGUACUAACAUUUUUACUUAAAAAUAUUGAUUUGAAAUAGAUGCACAACUAUUGGAGAGAAAAAGGGUUUUCCUAGUUAAAUAUUUCAGCCUGUUCCCAUAUGCUUUGUUUGUUGUAAAUUGCAGGAGAAAAACACUGUACCGUCUCUCAGAAAAGCUCUCAAGGACGUUGCAAUGGAGAAAGAUGCGGCAGUUGUUGCACGGGUACUGACCAUGUAUAUGUUAGUUGGUGAUUCAUCUCACUUGGUUCAUCGUGUUUCGUGUCACUCUCAAUCUGGUUUCUUAGUGUAGGAGGAUCUUUCAGCUCAGCUUCGUACGCUCAAGAAACGUCUGAAAGAUGCAGAAGAAGAACAGUAUCGUGUAUGCAAUUAGUUUUCUAUUAGUUCUCUUGGAACAGCAGAUUAUUAUGCUUUUCUCACUUGUUGUCUUGCAACAGGCUGAGGAAGAUGCAGCAUCCUUGAGAGCCGAACUGAAUAUGAUACAACAACAAGCAAUGAGUGGUACACUUAGUGCAGUAACCUCAAUUGCUAAUUCACCAGAUCAGAUACAAACCUUAGAAAAGGAGUUAGCUAGCUUAAAAUUUGAGUUACAGGUGAUAAUUUGUUUAAUGGACCUUGUGUAGUUUUGCUUCUGGUUCUUGUUUGUAGGCAUUUGACUUUGUUUCAAAUUUUGUAGCGAGAGUCGCAAUUGAGGCAGCAAGAGCGACAACAAUUAGCAGAGGAGCAAGCCCGGGCAUCCACCCUUACAUCUGAAAAGCAGGAAUUGGAAGAAAAGCUUGCAGCUAUUUCUAGAAAGGCUUCAGGUACAAAAUCUACCAAAUAUAUAUGCAGAGAUUACAACACCAUAAGGAAUUUCAGAAAAUCUCCUUUCAGAUAUUCGAUGUACUUUAAAAGGAGAGGACUUUAGGGGCCUACUUUAACUCUUAGGGUGCACAUAGUCUCAUGUGGAAGAGACUGAUAAACAGUAGUACCUAUAAGGCUGUUGGUCAAGAAAAGUUAAACAAAUUGGCCAUUGUUGGCCUGAAAUUUUCCUCUUAGGGGAUGAGGUUUUCAAUAGAGCUACCAUUGUAUUUUGUUUGCAUAUUCAGCAAUACAUUCUUACGUUCCUCUAUAUCUAAUUUAAGAUUUAGAACCUAGAUCCCUUGACGGCUCGGGGUAUAUGGGGUUGCAACUGGAACCUAGAUCCCUCUGUAUUUUGUAUGUUCUUGAUGCCUUUUGUUGUGUUUUGAUUUGUUAUGGCUCUGUCAGUUGUGUUGUCAUUUGGCCAUUUAGUAUAAUUCAUUUCUUGUAUAAUGGCAUUUAAAAAAAAAAAAAGCUCCUUAUGAAUGUUGUUUCCCUGGUUCAUGCACUGCAGAAGUCUCAGAGAAAGUGGCUGGCAAGGAAUUUUCAUUAGUAAGUUAAUUUUUUGAUGAUCUUGUUAAAUCCUUUUAUAGUUUCUUUGUCUAUGAUCACGUGCCAAACAAAUAGGGAGGAAAACAAGGAGGCAGCAACUUAAUGAGUUCAUCUGAGUCACAAUUGAGUGUAAAUGUUAAUGAGUUAAAUUUGAGUGGUCUCUUAGCAAGUUCAUGUGGUUCUAGUCCACUUGCAUUACCUAUUUUUGCUAUUAUUGUUAGUCUGAGUGUGACUCAUCAGUUCAACCUCCUUUUGUUCUUGUUGUUCCUUGAUUAAUUUUAUUUGGAUAAAUGUUUUAUUGGUUAAUGCAUUAAUGUUCAGGAGGACAAGGAGAAACUUGAGAAGCAGUUGCAUGACAUGGCUGUAGUGAUUGAGAAAUUGGAAAGCAGUAGACAAAAGCUUUUGAUAGAGGUUAUCCUUGCAACUCUUUCUUAUUUUACUCCAAUGUGAUUUUUUGGUGUAUGUCUUUGACAGCUCACUUUUUGUAAAUGGUGGCAGAUUGAUUCCCAAUCUUCAGAGAUAGAAAGGCUUUUUGAGGAAAAUUCUAAUCUCUCGAGUUCCUAUCAGGAGUCGAUGAACAUAUCAGUGCACUGGGAGAAUCAGGUAAUUGUCAGUGGCUAAGGUGAUGGAGAAUGACAGAAUGUAGCUUGUGGUUCUAGGAACUGGUGUUGCCUAUCUGUUCACUUAUCCGUGAUACAUUUUUCCUAAUAUUACGUGGCACAUUGGAUUCCCAAUAAUUAGGCCAAAACAAUUGUCAACUGUACAUGGAAAAUGGUUGUUAUGGCCUGAGCUUACACUAUGCUGGACUAGUAAAUUCAGCUAAUCUGGUGCAUGUUUGCAGUAUGAAACUGCAUUGUGAUACUGAAUAAGUUAUGGUCAACCCAGAGUUUAAUUAUGUUUGCAAUAUCUUCUUAGAGUAGUCAUUCAGUUUACUAUAUUUCGCCGCUUUUUUCUUUCUGUGAAACUUCUUAGUUUUUGGCAUGUGAACUGCAGGUGAAAGACUGUCUUAAGCAAAAUGAAGAGCUCCGUGGAACUUUAGAUAAGCUGAGAACAGACCAGGCCAAGGGGACGCCAGAAUCCCACGAAGGCAGGGAUAAUGAGACUGGUUCAGCUGCAUAUACAACUGAAGUUCUCUCCAUCAAGGUUAGUCUGUGUGCUUAGUGUACCAUAUUUGAUCACCAAUAAGGUUUUGCAGUAAAACACUCAUCAAGAAAAGUGUAGGAGAAAAAAAGUUUUAUUUUUGAACUUCCCUUGGUGCUUUGUUUUGUAAUAGAUUCAAGAUGAGGAUGUGAUUUGUGGGAAAAGUCUCACAACUUUUUUUUAAUGAAAAAAUUCUGAAUAACAUAAUAGUUUUUUAUUUAUUUAUAAUUUUCUUGUCAAACAAGCAUGGAUUAUCCGGAAGAAGGAUUUUAUAUUCUUUGUUUUAUGUGGUUGCCGAUUUUGAAGAGGUAGAGAAAGACCAAUAUGUUAGAAGUUUAUAUAACUUGUCAAGUAAUUGUAGCUUUCAUUAUUUGGGAUAAGCUUGUAAAAUUGAUGAUGUCAUGAUUUUUUCUUGGUUAUUUCUCUGUCUGACAUCAAUGCUACUUUUUCUUUGGUUUGUAGGAUCAAAUUGCAAAAGAACAAAGCAGAGCAGAGGCAUUAUCAGCCGAGGUAUUGCAGCUGUCCGCACGACUCCAACAAUCCACCCAAGCAUACAAUGGGCUUGCACGCCUGUAAUAUAUAUUCUCUCUCUCUCUCUCUCUCUCUCUCUCUCUCUCUGUUUCCAUUUUCUUACAAGUUCCAUGCUAAUGUCUAUUUCCUCUAAACCUUUUGCAGCUAUAAACCAGUGUUACGAAACAUAGAAAGCAGUCUCAUCAAGUUGAAACAAGAUGGCCCAGUGACUGUGCGGUGAAUGCAGAGGCAAAUCAGCACAACCCCCUUUGUAGAAAAAUUGGUCAAAGAAGCGCAUUUUCAGUUGUAAAGUUUUUCAAACCCAUUUGGGCUCGGCUUUUUUCAUGUAUCAAGAUGUGCACUAGUGAAAAAAGUGGUAUUCUCUGUAUCAAACCCAUUUGUAGCACCGCAUUUCAAAGAAACGAUUUAAAUCCCAAAAAUUUGUGGCCUCGGCGCAAGUAUCUCGAAACCUAAUUUGCCUGAUUCCCUUCGGCAACAUGAAAAGGCGCAUCACGAGAAUGUGCAUCAUAUAGUUCGACAACAACUUGAUCCGUUUGUUUUUCAAGAUUGCUAUAGUAGUAUAAAUCUGUUGCAAUGUGCCACAGGAUAAUGCUUUUAUCAAACGGUACUUCAACCAAUCUUCAGUUGAAUUUUUCGAUACAAUUUCUCUGUUGCAGCACAUGAUUCCCUCUCCAAGUCAACACUUCACUAGCAUUGUGUUCUUUUCGAGCAAUGAAGAUAAAUGGAAAGUGAUAAAUCAAUGUGGAUGGAUGCAGCAUGCCCAACAGCUUAGGCAUGGGGGAGAGAUUCUCGCACAUGUAUGCCUUCUCUCAUGGCAAAUCUUGGUUUCAGCCAACAAUUUCAGAUAAAACGAGGCUCACCAACAAUCAGUCUAUAUGCUGUUACUAAGCAAGCCUAGCUUUUGGCUUUGAAAAGUUCUCCACAAAGUUCAUUUGCCAGAGUGAGUCGAUGAACUGAGUAAUUACAGUGAGGUUUUGAAAGAUGGUCACCUGUAUAGCUCGUUCACUUGUUAUAAUAUAAGUGGAUAUUUAUUAAAACUACUAUACUUUAAAAAUGAAAAUCUUAAACAUGACAUGACAUCCACCUAUAUUAUGACACAUGAACAAGUUAUAUCAAGUUACCGUAUUGCAGUAUCAUAUAAAUAAUUUUUCAACACGAUAUGGGUGUAGCUUUGACAAAUGAUUUUUAUGCAAAUAAUGUCAUGUUAUGAUUUGCCAACAGCCUGUCACAAGUGAUGAAAACAUAGGCCCAUACUUUGAAGGCACCACUUGGCAGCAAUCAAUGGAUGUCAUUCAUAUAUUCUUCUCCGUGAUACAUGCCUCCACAAUCGUAAUCUUUGCUUAAUAAAGAUUAUAUUCUCAGUCCUUUGUCGAUUUCAACUGUUUUAAGGAAUCUUUGGCUUUUUAUCCCAUACCUUUAGCUUUUGUAGCAUAAUAAUGUUAUCACUUUACCUUGAUUAUACAGCAUUUGCCACAUAAACUCUCUUAACAGUUAUUACUGCCAAUGAUAAUUUGGUUCACCCGUAUUCAGUUUUCACUUUAUUGAUGAAAGAAGUCUUUAGUUCAAAUAUUAUAAACGAUAUAUAUAUAUAUACGUUUAUUGAAGAAGAUCUUGAAUUCAAAUAAUAUUGACGACAUAUAUAUAUAUAUGUUGAAUUUAAAAUAAUUAAUAAAAAUGUUAUCUUGCUAUGUAGAAAUUAUAAUGGACAUCAGUGAUUUGAUGGUGUAGCACAGCUGGCCACCCGAUCAUUGAUGCAAGUAUUAAGCAUAAUCAAGGUGUGAGGCCAAUCCAAUGUGGCUGGUGAAAGAAACUUUGAACCUAUUUGAAAAUGGAAGAAUACAAAAGGAAAAAGCAAGCACUAGUUAUUCUAUGAGAUUCCUUGUCUCAUGUCAUGAUCAAAACUUGUUAAAUAAGAAAAUCAUGAUACUCAAUGUCAUUCUCAUCCCUUUUUCAAUUUCUCUUAUAAUUAGAAUGCUCUGCUGAUAAUUUCACUCCAGCAAAACAUGAAGGGGAAAACCAUUUGCUUCUGCAUUCCUGCAGGCCGCAAACACAAAGAUAAUGAAGAGAAGCAUGAUGAGUCCUCUCAUUCCAACUCUCGCCGAAGCCGCAAGAGUAGAGGACAUGUUGUUGCAACAGGUACUAGUGAUCACGGUGAAGGCAAUGAUGGAGACACCACGGCUGCCGCUUCAGCGCCAACAAUGGCCGCGGCAGCUGUAAUGAUGAGUACAGCCCACAUGUCAACUAUGGAUGGCGAUGGCGGUGGUGGCAGUGCUCAUGGUGGCGGCGAUGGUUGAUGGCAUUGAAAGUCGAUGCUUUUUUAGCAUUUUUGUUCAAUUAUUGUCUCUACUAUUAUAUUAUACCACUUAAUUUUGUUUUUUUGUUUCUGGGUUCUAUGAUUGUGAAGAGUGAAAGAGUGGACCGUCACAAUGUGAUAUUGUGUAUUUUCAUUUUAUAUUUUGCAAUAAUUAUGUAAGUUUGAUUGUCAAUGAACUGAGAGUGGAAGGCUUUCGUUUUUGCAGUUGUCUUUCUCUCUCUGUUCUUCUGUUUAUUGUUACUUCUGGAGCCUUUUGUUUGCAAGAAUGAUUGAGUACAUCCCACAAGCUUGUGAGUCUUGUACAAAAAAAACCCUCUUCAAUAUCGACAAUCAAAUGGUUUAAGGAUUUUAAUUUUAAGAAGGCAGCGAUUCAAGCCAGUGUACCAUUUUUGUGCUGGAUUGAGAUAAGUUAGUAUCAAAUUUGAUCAAAUUUUAAGUUGUA
rnacentral:lncRNA from 1 species